GGGGGUAUAGUUUAAUUAGGUAAAACCGUAAACUUAUACUUUACUAUUUUAAGUUCGAUGCUUAAUAUCUCUA
rnacentral:tRNA from 1 species